rnacentral:rRNA from 1 species
AUUGAACGCUGGCGGCAGGCCUAACACAUGCAAGUCGAGCGGAGCGGCGGACGGGGGAGUAAUGCCUAGGCAUCUGCCUGGUAGUGGGGGCUAACAUAGGGAAACGGGCGCUAAUACCGCAUACUAUCAGUUGAGCCUAGGUCGAAUUAGCUAGUUGGUGGGGUAACGGCCUACCAAGGCGACGAUCCGGAACUGGUCUGAGAGGAGGAUCAGGCACACGGGAAUGGUGAAACGGGCCAGCCUCCUCCGAGAGGAAGAGUUGGGGAAUAUGGGACAAUGGGCGAAAGCCUGCUCCAGCCAUGCGGGUUGUGUGAAGAAGGUGUUCGGAUUGUAAAGCCCUUUAAGUUGGGAGGCGUUACCAACAGAAUAAGCACCGGCUAACUACGUGUCAGCAGCCGCGGUAAUUC